rnacentral:rRNA from 1 species
ACGUCUAGCGGAACUGCCAGCGUAAGACUGCGAGGAAGGUGGGGAGUGACGUCAAAUACAGCACGGCCCUUACGUCCAGGGCUACACACGUGUUACAAUGGCCAGUACAGAGGGCAGCCACCCCGCGAGGGGCGCUAAUCCUAAAAGCUGGUCCCAGUUCGGAUCGGAGUCUGCAACCCGACUCCGUGAAGCUGGAUUCGCUAGUAAUCGCGCAUCAGCCACGGCGCGGUGAAUACGUUCCCGGGCCUU